GGACCUUUAGCUCAGUUGGUUAGAGCGCCCGGCUCAUAACCGGUAGGUCGUAGGUUCGAGUCCUACAAGGUCCA
rnacentral:tRNA from 1 species